rnacentral:rRNA from 1 species
CACGGGGGGAGCAAGCGUUGUUCGGAAUCACUGGGCGUAAAGGGCGUGUAGGCGGUCAGGUAAGUGAGAUGUGAAAUGCCCCGGCUCACCCGGGGACCGGCAUCUCAUACUGCUUGGCUUGAGUACGGGAGAGGAUGUGGGAAUUCCUGGUGUAGCGGUGAAAUGCGUAGAUAUCAGGAGGAACACCGGUGGCGAAGGCGCACAUCUGGCCCGAUACUGACGCUGAGGCGCGAAAGCUAGGGGAGCAAACGGG